CAUUUUCGGAGGAGAUUUCUGGGAAUGACGUUGCCUCACUCUACCCAAAUGAACCGGAACUUGUGGCUUGGACUGUUGUUAUCAGCACCGACACUAUUCUUGCAACUUGCUUUUGGCUGCUACACACCACUCCCUCCUCUUGGCCCGAGGCUUUUCCGAGCGAAGGCCUUAUUUGGAAACGUAAUGAGGGUGUGUCAUGAUGACAUUGUUGCCGCAGUGAAGUUGUUGCCAUCUUCGCAGAUCAGAAAGGUGGUACAGGAGUCAUGUGUCCUUAUCGACAACUGCGCCCGUUCUAUACCAGAGAAUACCUCGCUUCAGGCA